UGGAACGUUGAGACCAGCUCGCUGUUGGCAA
rnacentral:piRNA from 1 species